AAAGAAUGUUCUUAUUUAUGCGGGUGGUGGUAAAAAGCCUCAGAGGUUACCUAGCUCUUUCCAUGUUACCUGAACUAGGGUGAUGGUAGGCAGUGCCUGGUUACCGCAGAUAAGCACCUGUUUAUCAAGUCUUGGCUGACCUUUAGCGAGUGGCAUUUGUCAAGGGUAGCAUUAAAGAGAGCUUUGAAAUACAUUAGAUAUUUAUUUAAAAACUUGACGACCCUCCAGCUGGAACACCAGUGUGCCCAGAUGCUGUGAAGAAUGAACAAGAAAACACUUUAUUUAAGACAUUGUUAUAAGCACAAGGAAGACAUUACUCGAAAGAUACCGACAAGAAAUUAUAAACCUUCAAUGUAAGCUUUAACAAACUCACAGGAAAGCCUCAAAAGUAAGCAUUGUGAUCAGGCUUCCCUCUGCCUUGAAGACCACAUAUUAAUCUUCAGGAAAUGUAUUCCUCCUGCCACACCCAAGAAGAGAAUACAACCUCCAACUGGGUGAAAGAAAGCUGGUAUACGAUAGGUAACAACAUUUCAGAAAAGCAGAGCUCAAGUAUUCUACAGCUGAGAAUUGCUUCAGUUGAUGUCUAUCUUCUCUACCCACUACCAUCAACUCAAGUCACAGACAGAAAAGUGUGAAGACAAAAAAUUUACAGCCCUCAAACCAUGAUAUAGAGAGGAAAACCAAGUAGAACUAACUGGGUUCUGAAGUUUACAGAAGAAAAAGAAUCUUGAUUCAAAGCAAAUAGAAUGUAGACAAUCUAGAUAAAAUGUGAGCAGGAUGAAAAAAAAAUUGUAAAGUGAUUUAACAAACACUUAUUUUUCCAACAUUCAAAGAAAGGAAAAUAACAGAAACAUGAUAAAGGACCUAAUUUAGAAGAACCCUAGAAACAAAGGAAUUGACUACAAAUACUUUUGACCACAAAUCAUUUUAAGAACAUGAAUUAAAUAAAACAGGAGCUCAAAUACACUGUGAUAAAAGGAAAAAAGCAGAAUGAGCUGAAAGGAGGACCAAACAACAUAAUGACAAAAUUAAUAAAAGUAAAAGCAGCAAAGAACAGAGUAGAAAUUGCUAAAAAAUUUGAAUUACUAACCUAGAGCAAAGGUUUAAAAUAUAUAAUCAUAAAUGAUGUCCCAGAAAUAGUAAACCCAUCAAAUUAAACAAAAAAUAUUCAAGAGAAUACCCCUGAAACAAAGGAAGGUGAAUUUGCAGAAUUAAAAAACACACUGUUUCAGAAAACCUCAACAUGUAACAUUCAGUACUGAGAUAUAUCAUGACAAACUUAACCUAUUGAAAUUCAAAAGUAAGACUUCUUCAAGCAUUCAGGCAAACAAUAUCAAAUUAUCUGCUGACUCAGAAUUCAAUGACAGAAAAUAGGAACAAUGACUAAAGUAAUGCAACCAAGAGUGUCUUAUCCAAAUAGGUUGUCAUUCCUGUACAAACACAAAAUGGACUUUUUCUAAACAUACAAAAAUAUCAGGAAACAUGAUGCCCAUGAGCAUCUCUCAAAAAAACUACUUGGUGAUAUCCUGGCAUUUAAGGGACAAAUUUAAGGGGAAAAAAGGAACAAAGAAGCAUAUAGAGGACUUUCAGUGAACCCCAAAUCCAAAUAAAUGCAGACCAGUACAAACUGCCGGACUGUCACUGAAGAGAAUGUUAAUGUUCCUGAAGAGAUUGUUAACAAAUAUAAAGAGUACUAUAAAAGUCAGGAAGAGAGGCUGUGAGGUGGGAGACCAUGUAUGCAGUUUAUCCCCAUCUUUCACAGAAGGUGUCAAUCAAUGUAUGAA